rnacentral:misc_RNA from 1 species
GAUGAAGAACGUAGUGAAAUGCGAUAAGUAAUGUGAAUUGCAGAAUCUCGUGAAUCAUCGAAUCUUUGAACGCACAUUGCGCCCUAUGGUAUUCCGUAGGGCAUGCCUGUCUGAGCGUCAACUCCCACCCUCUCAAGUCUUCUUUUUUGUUAAGGAGAUUUGGAUUACUUUGAGGAAGUAUCGUUUUUUUUUUAUAAUGCUACUCCUCAGAAAUUCAUAGGCAGUAUGGUCAAACCUGAACCAGGCGUAAUAAUUCUAUAAAAAUCGUCUAUGAAGGAAUGUCUGUAUUAGCCUUUAACCCCCCCUAAUUUAUUUUACUUGGGUGACCUCAGAUCAGGUAGGGAUACCCGCUGAACUUAAGCAUAUCAAUAAGCGGAGGA